rnacentral:sRNA from 1 species
CCUCUUCCAUCAACCACGGAUCUGUGCCCAGCGGUCCUCUGCUUUUCUUCGUGGAGUCAGGGUCGACUGCUGUGCAGCUCGAUAACAGCAUGGAGCCAUCAACUUGUUAUGGUGUCAAUCAUCCUAUCGACAGGUCCAAGAAGGACUCGGUCUUUAGCUCCCUCGUGGGUCGUCGCAAGACGGCUUGCGAGUUGCGGCCUCUGACUGGAGGCACUAUAAUCCAACCCUCUUUUCCGAGACCGUCGGUCCGUGAGGUUGGGGAAAACCAUGGUAGCCUACAUUU